rnacentral:rRNA from 1 species
AGGUGGUUAUGUAAGUCUGAUGUGAAAAUGCAGGGCUCAACUCUGUAUUGCGUUGGAAACUGCAUGACUAGAGUACUGGAGAGGUAAGCGGAACUACAAGUGUAGAGGUGAAAUUCGUAGAUAUUUGUAGGAAUGCCGAUGGGGAAGCCAGCUUACUGGACAGAUACUGACGCUAAAGCGCGAAAGCGUGGGUAGCAAACAGGAUUAGAUACCCUGGUAGUCCACGCCGUAAACGAUGAUUACUAGGUGUUGGGGGUCGAACCUCAGCGCCCAAGCUAACGCGAUAAGUAAUCCGCCUGGGGAGUACGUACGCAAGUAUGAAACUCAAAGGAAUUGACGGGGACCCGCACAAGCGGUGGAGCAUGUGGUUUAAUUCGACGCAACGCGAGGAACCUUACCAGCGUUUGACAUCUUAGGAAUGAGACAGAGAUGUUUCAGUGUCCUUUCGGGGAAACCUAAAGACAGGUGGUGCAUGGCUGUCGUCAGCUCGUGUCGUGAG